GUGCUUGAUAGGAUUUAACAAAGUCCCUUAUAUCUUAAUCCAUCUGUCACUUUGUCAGCAGUCUUAAUUUGGUUUCUUGCUGAUCAUUAUAAGAUGGGAAACUC
rnacentral:snoRNA from 1 species